rnacentral:tRNA from 1 species
GGUGGCUCAGUGGUAGAGCGCUUGCCUUUCAUGCAUUUGAGGCCCUGGGUUCGAUUCCUCAGCACCA